GCCGGUUCUUGUUGCAUCGGAGUGCUUCUUGGAGGUCGGCUAAAUGGUUUGAAAUUUUAUAAUCUUCACUCUUUUUCAGAAAAUUUUAGACAAUUUACUUUUUCUUUCUUAUGAAAGUCUCUCCUUGUCCAUACGGAUCUAUGCUAGCCUCUAAAACUUGACAGUGAUUAGGGUUGCCACUAAAAAGAGCAUGUGGGGGUAUGUUCUCUGGACAUAAAAUCAAUAAGGGUAUAUUUUUUUGUUCCCAGUAUAUUAGAAGGCUCGGUUGGGUAGUUUGUCGGUGGAAGUCAAUU
rnacentral:misc_RNA from 1 species